rnacentral:rRNA from 1 species
GGUUCAGGAUGAACGCUGGCGGCGUGCUUAACACAUGCAAGUCGAACGGACUGCACGGACUGAAAUUUCGGAUGGAUGACCGUGUACGUUAGUGGCGGACGGGUGAGUAACGCGUGGGAAACCUGCCCUAUUCCGGGGGAUACCAGUUGGAAACGACUGUUAAUACCGCAUAAGCGCACACUGCCGCAUGGCAGAGUGUGAAAAACUCCGGUGGAACAGGAUGGUCCCGCGUCUGAUUAGGCAGUUGCGGGGUAACGGCCCACCAAACCGACGAUCAGUAGCCGACCUGAGAGGGUGACCGGCCACAUUGGGACUGAGACACGGCCCAAACUCCUACGGGAGGCAGCAGUGGGGAAUAUUGCACAAUGGGGGAAACCCUGAUGCAGCGACGCCGCCGUGAGUGAAGAAGCAUUUCGGUAUGUAAAGCUCUAUCAGCAGGGAAGAAGAUGACGGUACCUGCACAAGAAGCCCCGGCUAACUGCGUGCCAGCCGCUGC